GACGAACGCUGGCGGCGCGCUUAACACAUGCAAGUCGAACGGAAAGGCCUGCUUUCCCUUGUGGGUUGCGGGUACUCGAGUGGAGAACGGCGGAGUAACAAGUGAGUGAGCUGCCCCCAACUGGGUUAUAAGCCGGAGAAACUGGGACUAAUUCGCGCUCGGGCUGCAGGGCGGCGCGAGUGGUGGAAAACGAUUUUCUAGUGGGUGAGGAUGAGCUCGCGGCCUCUCAGCGGGUUGGUGGGGGAAUGGCCAGCCAAGGAGGCGACGGGUAGCCGACCUGGGAGGGUGGACGGCCACAUUGUGCCUGGGAUCCGGCCCGGCUUCCUACGGGGGGCAGCAGUGGGGAAUAUUGUCCAAUGGGCGGAAGCCUAACGCAGCGACGCCGCUGGAGGGAUGACGGCCUUCGGGUUGUAAACUUCUUUCGUCCGCGAGGAAGCCACCUGGUUGGAAGGUUGGUGCCGGUAGUGUAAGAAGAAGCACCGGCUAACUCCGUG
rnacentral:rRNA from 1 species